rnacentral:misc_RNA from 1 species
GAUGAAGAACGUAGCGAAAUGCGACAAGUAAUGUGAAUUGCAGAAUUCAGUGAAUCAUCGAAUCUUUGAACGCACAUUGCGCCCGCCAGUAUUCUGGCGGGCAUGCCUGUUCGAGCGUCAUUACAACCCUCAGGCCCCCGGGCCUGGCGUUGGGGAUCGGCGGAAGCCCCCUGCGGGCACAACGCCGUCCCCCAAAUACAGUGGCGGUCCCGCCGCAGCUUCCAUUGCGUAGUAGCUAACACCUCGCAACUGGAGAGCGGCGCGGCCACGCCGUAAAACACCCAACUUCUGAAUGUUGACCUCGAAUCAGGUAGGAAUACCCGCUGAACUUAAGCAUAUCAAUAAGCGGAGGA